UACGGGGGGAGCAAGCGUUGUUCGGAUUUACUGGGCGUAAAGGGCGCGUAGGCGGCCACGACAAGUCACUUGUGAAAUCUCUGGGCUUAACUCAGAAACUGCCGUUGAUACUAUUUGUCUUGAAUAUUCUGGAGGUAAGCGGAAUAUGUCAUGUAGCGGUGAAAUGCUUAGAUAUGACAUAGAACACCGAUAGCGAAGGCAGCUUACUACAGAAUGAUUGACGCUGAGGCACGAAAGCGUGGGGAGCAAACAGG
rnacentral:rRNA from 1 species